rnacentral:lncRNA from 1 species
AAACGUGGAAGUUUGGAUGUGGAUGGGUCAUUUGUGACAAAAUGCCAAAUUUUGGCUUCUAAAGGUUCCUUACGAACCGCAAGGCAUAGGCCUAAGGACCGUAUGGCAUUUGUUAUUAUUUUUGAUCUUUGAUAGUCCCUUAUGGACCAUAAGGCAUUUGAAUAAACUGUGGGCGCCUGAAGGUCCUUACGAACCAUAAGCCACCACCUCUUACGGUUCGUAAGGGAUGCGCUGGCAGCCAAAAAUCAGCUGGCAGUUGCAGCUACAUUCUCUACCUCCUUGGUCGCAGACAAACUUGGCAAGGGCGCGAGCCUUAGCUUGGACCGUAGAAGCAUAAAACGUUGUGAUGGUAACGGCUUCGUAAACACAUCUGCAAUCUGAUCAUCUGUGGAGAUAAAUUUCCCUUGUGCUACCUUUUCUCGAACAAAGUGAAAAUCAACUUCUGCGUGUUUGGUUCAAGCAUGAAACACCGGAUUUGCUGACAAAUUUGUGGCUCCCAAAUUGUCACACCAUAACGUGGGAGCUGUCUCAAGAGAAACUCGUAGUUCAGUCAGUAGAUCUUGGAGCCAAGUCAACUCAGCUACUGUAUCUGCUAAAGCCUUGUACUCAGACUCUGUGGAUGACCUAGAGACAGUUCGUUGCUUGCGAGUAGACCAAGAGACAAGAUUAGAUCCAAGAUAUAUUGCAUAUCCCCCGGUGGAUCGACGGUCAUCGGGACAACCAGCCCAAUCUGCAUCAGAGUAAGCCGUAGUGGAGUUAAAAGUGGCAUCUGUAUAUGCAUGAAGUCUGGAAUCCGAAUUUCAUUGUAUCUUUAAGCCAUAGGAACCAGUGCCUUGUAAGUAACGUAGGAUUCGCUUUACCGCAGACCAAUAAUUAUCUGUAGGGGAGUGCAUAAACUGACACACUUUGUUGACAGCAAAAGUAAUAUCUGGACGUGACAACGUAACAUACUGUAGAGCCCCAACAAUCUGUCUGUAUUUGACAGGAUUAUCAAAUGGUUGACUGUCACCUAAGUGAAGAUUAGCUGUGGUGGUGAUAGGUGACAAGACAG